rnacentral:tRNA from 1 species
GGAGGGGUGUCCGAGUGGUUGAAGGAGGCGGUCUUGAAAACCGCUGACGGGGUGACUCGUCCGGGGGUUCGAAUCCCUCCCCCUCCGCCA